rnacentral:rRNA from 1 species
AUGCGCCUUCCACGAAGAAAUCCGGCCCCACCUGCCGGUGACCCUCCAAGCACCUCCCUAUAUAGACUUCCUCGUGUGCGGCCAUCUCGGCCUCCCUCUCUCUCCUCCAUUUCUCUCCUCCUCCUGCCACCGAUCCCGAACCAGGGAGGAACCCGGCGCGAGGAGGGCAAAGGAAGAGAAGAGGAGAUCACCGAGCCCAGCGCGCGCACAGGACAGCAGGCGCCGCGAUCUCGCACAGGAGCGGAGAUGGGGCUCACGUUCACGAAGCUGUUCAGCCGGCUCUUCGCCAAGAAGGAGAUGAGGAUCCUCAUGGUCGGUCUCGAUGCGGCUGGUAAGACCACCAUCCUCUACAAGCUCAAGCUCGGAGAGAUCGUCACCACCAUCCCCACAAUCGGGUUUAAUGUCGAAACUGUAGAGUACAAGAACAUUAGUUUCACCGUUUGGGAUGUCGGGGGUCAGGACAAGAUCAGGCCCCUGUGGAGGCACUACUUCCAGAACACCCAGGGUCUCAUUUUUGUCGUGGACAGCAAUGACAGAGAGCGUGUUGUUGAGGCAAGAGAUGAGCUUCACCGGAUGCUGAAUGAGGAUGAGCUGCGUGAUGCUGUGCUGCUGGUGUUUGCAAACAAGCAAGAUCUUCCUAAUGCCAUGAACGCUGCUGAAAUCACUGACAAGCUUGGCCUGCAUUCUCUGCGCCAGCGACACUGGUACAUCCAGAGCACAUGUGCUACCUCUGGAGAGGGGUUGUACGAGGGGCUUGACUGGCUGUCCAACAACAUUGCCAACAAGGCUUGA